GACGAACGCUGGCGGCGUGCUUAACACAUGCAAGUCGAACGGAAAGGCCCUUCUUUUGUGGUGUUCUCGAGUGGCGAACGUGUGUGUCACACGUGAGUAACCUGCCCUUGACUUUGGUAUAACUUCAGGACACUGGGUCUUAUACCGGAUAGGAUCUCCUUCUGCAUGGUGGGUUUUGGAAAGUUUCGGCGGUUGGGGAUGGACUCGCGGCUUAUCAUCUUGUUGGUGGGGUAGUGGCUUACCAAGGCUUUGACGGGUAGCCGGCCUGAGAGGGUGACCGGCAAAAUGGGGACGGAGAAACGGCCAAGACCCCUACGGGAGGAAGAAGUGGGGAAAAUUGCAAAAUGGGCGGAAGCCUGAGGAAGAAACGCCGCGUGCGGGAUGACGGCCUUCGGGUGGUAAACCGCUUUGGCCUGUGACGAAGCGUGAGUGACGGUAAUGGGUAAAGAAGCACCGGCUAACUACGUG
rnacentral:rRNA from 1 species